rnacentral:rRNA from 1 species
AGUACAGACGAGUUUGAUCAUGGCUCAGAACGAACGCUGGCGGCAGGCCUAACACAUGCAAGUCGAGCGCCCCGCAAGGGGAGCGGCAGACGGGUGAGUAACGCGUGGGAAUCUACCUAAUGGUACGGAAUAGCCCAGGGAAACUUGGAGUAAUACCGUAUACGCCCGCAAGGGGAAAGAUUUAUCGCCAUUAGAUGAGCCCGCGUUGGAUUAGCUAGUUGGUGGGGUAACGGCCCACCAAGGCGACGAUCCAUAGCUGGUCUGAGAGGAUGAUCAGCCACACUGGGACUGAGACACGGCCCAGACUCCUACGGGAGGCAGCAGUGGGGAAUAUUGGACAAUGGGCGCAAGCCUGAUCCAGCCAUGCCGCGUGAGUGACGAAGGUCUUCGGAUUGUAAAGCUCUUUUGGCGGGGACGAUAAUGACGGUACCCGCAGAAUAAGCCCCGGCUAACUUCGUG